UGCCCCCAGCCCUGACACUCGGGACGCCACCUCAGGUCAGGGCUGGAGAAGACUUGUGGAGUGAGAAAGGAGAGGGCCAUGCACGAGGCAAGCAAGCACAGAGGAGCCAGGAGGAAGGCCUUCUAAUGGGAGAGUAUGGUAACGUUGAGCGGGACAUGUCUUCGUUCCCCUGGAGUUGCCAAGUUGGAAUGUUAUCAGUGUGGAGUUGCUGAAGUGAUGUCCUAUCAUCCAUCAUGGAGGAAUGCAAGGACAAGCUGGGUGACACAGGCAGGGGGAGCUCCAGGGAGACUGGAAUGCAGGAGAAGGGAGGAAAAGACUCCUCCUUUUGGUCAGAUUGCCGUUUCUGCAAGCAAUGCAGCUUGGCCCUGGCAGCAGCAAGUUCUUCCUGAAGCAGCAGCUGCAUCCAC